rfam:Stegodyphus mimosarum contig58898, whole genome shotgun sequence.
GCCUUCGUGGUGUAGUGGUCAGCACACUCGGUGCGUAUUCGAGAGAACCGUGGUUCGAGUCCCGUCGAGGGCA